rnacentral:rRNA from 1 species
GAUGAACGCUAGCUACAGGCUUAACACAUGCAAGUCGAGGGGUCUCGAAGGAGCUUGCUCCCAAGAGACGACCGGCGCACGGGUGAGUAACGCGUAUCCAACCUGCCCUUCAUAUUGGGAUAGCCUUCCGAAAGGAAGAUUAAUACCGAAUAACAUGAGAAGUUUGCAUGAAUCUCUCAUGAAAGCUCCGGCGAUGAAGGAUGGGGAUGCGUUCCAUUAGGUAGUAGGCGGGGUAAAGGCCCACCUAGCCGACGAUGGCUAGGGGUUCUGAGAGGAAGGUCCCCCACGCUGGAACUGAGACACGGUCCAGACUCCUACGGGAGGCAGCAGUGAGGAAUAGUGGUCAAUGGGCGCAAGCCUGAACCAGCCAAGUAGCGUGAAGGAGGACUGCCCUAUGGGUUGUAAACUUCUUUUAUACGGGAACAAACCCCGGUACGUGUACCGGGCUGCGUGUACCGUAUGAAUUAGCAUCGGCUAACUCCGUGCCAGCCGCCGCCGUAAUAC